UGAGUCCUUUGUGUGUCAGAAAAGAACCACUUUCAGGUCACAGUUCACGUAGGGAUGGCCGGAGACCCCCUGUACGUCAAAACACCCAACGGCCCUGCGCCGAUAGAGAGCUUCCACAUCAAGGUGUUUGGCGUGAAGCUUGAGGCACAGACUCACAAAGUCACCAUAGAGCAGUCCCAGCCGGAUCGCAGCAAGAAACCAUUCCUGCCAGUCAAAGUGAGUCUACCAGGGGACAAGAUCACUAGAGUUACUCUGG